UUUUUCGUUUUUAUGAAGCAUGAUGCAUGAAGAUGCGAAUGUUAUGCAUAUUUCAUUUUCAGGGAAUUUUCAUCACAGUUGUAGUUAUAUUAAGCAUUCGAAGAAAACAUAAAGUUAGGGAAUAAAAAUGAGGAUCAUCCUCCUCUAUUCAAAUGUUUAAAGUACGGAGUACAAAGGCAUAACCGCCCAAAUCAAUACAGCUCAAAUACUAAACUGAAUGUAAGAAAAACAACAGAAUCACACAGCAGUCUUU
rnacentral:lncRNA from 1 species